rnacentral:rRNA from 1 species
AUUGAACGCUGGCGGCAGGCUUAACACAUGCAAGUCGAGCGGAGCGGCGGAGGGGUGCGUAAUGCUUAGGAAUCUGCCUGGUCGUGGUGGAUAACGUCCGGAAACGGGCGCUAAUACUGCAUACUAUCCGCUUAGCCUAGGUCGGAUUAGCUAGAUGGUGGGGUAAGGGCCUACCAAGGCGACGAUCCGUAACCGGUCUGAGAGGAUGAUCAGUCACACUGGAACUGAGACACGGUCCAGACUCCUACGGGAGGCAGCAGUGGGGAAUAUUGGACAAUGGGCGAAAGCCUGAUGCAGCCAUGCCGCGUGUGUGAAGAAGGUCUUCGGAUUGUAAAGCACUUUAAGUUGGGAGGCGUUACCAGCAGAAUAAGCACCGGCUAACUUCGUGCCAGCAGCCGCGGUAAUUC